GACGAACGCUGGCGGCGUGCCUAAUACAUGCAAGUCGAGCGCAGUGGGGACGGGUGAGUAACACGUGGGUAACCUCCCAUCAGAGGGGAUAACACUUGGAAACAGGUGCUAACCCGCUACUGAUGGAUGGACCCGCGGUGCAUUAGCUCGUUGGUGGGGUAACGGCUCACCAAGGCGACGAUGCAUAGCCGACCUGAGAGGAUGACCGGCCACACUGGGACUGAGACACGGCCCAGACUCCUACGGGAGGCAGCAGUAGGGAAUCUUAGGCAAUGGACGAAAGUCUGAUCGAGCAACGCCGCGUGAGUGAAGAAGGUUUUCGGAUCGUAAAGCUCUGUCGUUAGAGAAGCGGUAUCUAACCAGAAAGCCACGGCUAACUACGUGCCAGCAGCCGCGGUAAUAC
rnacentral:rRNA from 1 species